rnacentral:tRNA from 1 species
UGCCAUAGCUCAGUUGGUAGAGCAAAGGACUGAAAAUCCUUGUGUCACUGGUUCGACUCCCGUUGGCACC